CUGGCGUAUCAGUUGACACCGCUGCAUGUGGACCUGCUCAAUUGUUGAAAGGAAGAUAUCAUGGUGCGCGGGAUCUGAGUCGCUUCUUGUUGCUUUGAUGUCCCAAGAAGCGGAGGAUUCUAUCUGAUUGUGAUUUGUUGCUUCUGUUGACUUUGUUCUUGGCGCAUUGUGUUCUGAUAUUGUUAUGGUGUUAUUUGGUGAUUGUGGUGCUAUCAGAUUUUUGACCUGUGAUAGAUGUUUCGAGGUUCGAGCAUCCUAAUAGUGGUUUACUAGUAGUACCCCAACUCGCUUCUCUCUUUCCUACUUUCUUGCUUUAGUAUGUUGCUUAGCAGUGUUGGAGAUGGUUGUAAUAAGGAUGAAAACUCUGUUAUCUUUCUGUUGAGUGAUUAAUGGAAAAGGUGAUGCCUGG
rnacentral:lncRNA from 1 species